UGCGCCCUACGGGAGGCAGCAGUGGGGAAUUUUGGACAAUGGGCGCAAGCCUGAUCCAGCUAUUCCGAGUGUGGGAUGACGGCCCUCGGGUUGUAAACCACUUUAGUAGAGAACGAAAAGGAGCUAUCGAAUAAAUAGCUCUGCUGACGGUACUCUAAGAAUAAGCACCGGCUAACUCCGUGCCAGCAGCCGCGGUAAUACGUAGGGUGCGAGCGUUAAUCGGAAUUACUGGGCGUAACGGGUGUGCAGGCGGC
rnacentral:rRNA from 1 species